UAACACGGACAAAGCCAUGCGGGACAUGCUUCACAACAGCAAGCGGAGUAAAGCAGAGUAGGAAAUGAGGACCAAAAUGAGAUAAAAUAUCAACGGGAAGCUCCCUAAUAGGCACCCGUUAAUUGAACAAGUGGUUCCCGGAAAGAUCGAAAAGUUUCGUGAUGGGAUUCUCCCAGUAGACAAUAAUUCGGACUAAAAAAAUAAGUAUUCACACACAAAAAACUAUACAGAUAUGUUAACUGCGUACGGGCGAAGGCGUAUACCUAGUCACCGGCAAUACAGCUAUGUUUUUAUGCUACGCAAUUUUAUCCAACGAAAAACCAGCUAACUCGUCUAACAAAAACAGCUAGUAAUACAUAGAACAUGUAUACGUAAACACUUUUUAGGAGAACAAA